rnacentral:rRNA from 1 species
GAUGAACGCUGGCGGCGUGCCUAAUACAUGCAAGUCGAGCGAACGGACGAGAAGCUUGCUUCUCUGAUGUUAGCGGCGGACGGGUGAGUAACACGUGGAUAACCUACCUAUAAGACUGGGAUAACUUCGGGAAACCGGAGCUAAUACCGGAUAAUAUUUUGAAUCGCAUGGUUCAAAAGUGAAAGACGGUCUUGCUGUCACUUAUAGAUGGAUCCGCGCUGCAUUAGCUAGUUGGUAAGGUAACGGCUUACCAAGGCAACGAUGCAUAGCCGACCUGAGAGGGUGAUCGGCCACACUGGAACUGAGACACGGUCCAGACUCCUACGGGAGGCAGCAGUAGGGAAUCUUCCGCAAUGGGCGAAAGCCUGACGGAGCAACGCCGCGUGAGUGAUGAAGGUCUUCGGAUCGUAAAACUCUGUUAUUAGGGAAGAACAUAUGUGUAAGUAACUGUGCACAUCUUGACGGUACCUAAUCAGAAAGCCACGGCUAACUACGUG